rnacentral:rRNA from 1 species
UACGUAGGUGGCAAGCGUUGUCCGGAUUUAUUGGGUUUAAAGGGUGCGUAGGCGGUCUUAUAAGUCAGUGGUGAAAUACGGCAGCUCAACUGUCGAGGUGCCAUUGAUACUGUAGGACUUGAGUACAGACGAGGUAGGCGGAAUUGACCGUGUAGCGGUGAAAUGCUUAGAUAUCGUCAAGAACACCGAUAGCGAAGGCAGCUUACUAGGCUGUAACUGACGCUGAGGCACGAAAGUGUGGGGAUCAAACAGG